UGACUUCAAGGUCGUGCACGCCUAAGCGCUCUCUCACAUCCAUCUCACCCCUUUUGUGCAUCACCGCGCGGGCCCCUUCUUGGCGGAGAGGGUCUGCGUUUUCACAUAAAACUUGAUACAGUGUAGAAUGUCCUUUUGCGGUCACACGCAAUCAAUACAACUUUCAACAACGGAUCUCUUGGCUCUCGCAUCGAUGAAGAACGCAGCGAAAUGCGAUACGUAAUGUGAAUUGCAGAAUUCAGUGAAUCAUCGAAUCUUUGAACGCACCUUGCGCCCCUUGGCAUUCCGAGGGGCACACCCGUUUGAGUGUCGUGAAAUUCUCAAAACCCUUUCUUAGGAUUUUGGACUUGGAGGUUCAAUGCUCGCUUUCGGGUCUCGAAGGUGAGCUCCUCUCAAAUGAAUUAGUGGGGUCUGCUUUGCUGGUCCUUGACGUGAUAAGAUGUUUCAACGUUUUGGACUUGGCACUGUCUCUUGGAUGCCUGCUUCUAACUGUCCGUCUCGUGGACAACGAUGGUGCUCUGGUCUCCUCCAUCCACAGUGGUG
rnacentral:rRNA from 1 species